rnacentral:rRNA from 1 species
UACGUAGGGGGCAAGCGUUGUCCGGAUUUAUUGGGCGUAAAGAGCGUGUAGGCGGCUUUACAGGUCCGUUGUGAAAACUCGAGGCUCAACCUCGAGACGCCGGUGGAAACCGUAAGGCUAGAGUCCGGAAGAGGAGAGUGGAAUUCCUGGUGUAGCGGUGAAAUGCGUAGAGAUCAGGAAGAACACCGGUGGCGAAAGCGCUCUGCUGGACCUUAACUGACACUGAGGGACGAAAGCUAGGGGAGCGAAUUGG